CCUACGGGAGGCUGCAGUGGGGAAUAUUGGACAAUGGGGGCAACCCUGAUCCAGCCAUGCCGCGUGUGUGAAGAAGGCCCUCGGGUUGUAAAGCACUUUCAGUGAGGAAGAACGCCUGGUGGUUAAUACCCAUCAGGAAAGACAUCACUCACAGAAGAAGCACCGGCUAACUCCGUGCCAGCAGCCGCGGUAAUACGGAGGGUGCGAGCGUUAAUCGGAAUUACUGGGCGUAAAGCGCGCGUAGGUGGCUUGAUAAGCCGGUUGUGAAAGCCCCGGGCUCAACCUGGGAACGGCAUCCGGAACUGUCAAGCUAGAGUGCAGGAGAGGAAGGUAGAAUUCCCGGUGUAGCGGUGAAAUGCGUAGAGAUCGGGAGGAAUACCAGUGGCGAAGGCGGCCUUCUGGACUGACACUGACACUGAUGUGCGAAAGCGUGGGUAGCAAACAGGAUUAGAUACCCCAGUAGUC
rnacentral:rRNA from 1 species